CAAAACUGACUCGCUCUUAAGUGAGUUCUGCGUGCUGUGGGCUGAAAAUUGCAUAUAAAAGCCAAUAAUAUUAGUUAUUACCAUUUUGCCUAUUCUCCACUGCAACAGUAACGGGUCUUUAAUGUAGCAUAAGCAACAACAUUAAAUAAAUAACAAUUAAAAGCUUUGUAAAUAAUCAGUUAACCUAAAGGAAAAAGCAACUGCAAGCCAAAUUCAAGCAAUAAUACCAGAGCAACAAUUACAGAAUUAUAUUAAAAG
rnacentral:sRNA from 1 species